UUGCAACCUCCGCCUCCUGGGUUCAAGCAAUUCUCCUGCCUCAGCCUCCUGAGUAGCUGGGAUUACAGGCGCCCGCCACCACUCCCAGCUAAUUUUUGUAUUUUUAGUAGGGACGAGGUUUCACCAUGUUGGUCAGGCUGGUCUCAAACUCCUGACCUCGUGAUCUGCCCUCCUUGGCCUUCCAAAGUGCUGGGAUUACAGGCGUGAUGGAGAUGAUACUCCCUAAAUCACAAGGGUGUGGUGUGAAGAUGAAAUGGCUGCACGUGACAGAGGAGUUGGAGAACAGGAAGCAAGUGGAUUACUUGGAUGAACUGUGAUGGGCCCAAGAAGAACUAAGCCAAUCACUCCAGGGGGCGUUUUCCCAGGAUCCAGGCAGAGAGCUGAUUCCAGCAUCCACGUUGUAUCCCCCUCCCGCUGUGGCCGGGGUCUCCAAGAGCCGGGCACCCACUGCAGAGCUUCCAAGCCCAGGCCCAUUUGAACACAGGAGGACUUUUGAGGUUCAUUUAACCCCAAAAUCAGUGAUUCUACAUCUCAAGCUCAUAUUUUGAAGUGUUUACGGGCACGGCCUUGCAUUUCAGAGAGGGAGCAGGUCUAGAGAAGAACCAGAGGAGCUCAGCUGAGAUAUGGUGUAUGGAUUGGAUUUUGGUAGAAGAUGGGAAGAACCAAACACCUGAGAAACCACUUUGAAGAUCGGGGUCAGAGUAAGGCCUAACACAUAGUUGGCUCCCAGUAAUUAUUGGUUGAUUGAACAGCUCAAAGAGCAACUCGACCAAGAACACUGGACUGGGAGUCCAGUUACUUGGAUCUUGCAUUCCUGAUUUAUUUUUAUUUUAUAUGUAUUUUUUCUAUUUUUUUGAGACGAAGUCUCACUCACUCUGUCGCCCAGGCUGGACUACAAUGGCACGAUCUCGGCUCACUGCAAACUCUGCCUCCCAGGUUCAAGCGAUUCUCCUGCCUCAGCCUCUCGAGUAGCUAGGAUUACAGGCAUGCACCACCACGCUGGCUAAUUUUUGUAUUUUUAGUAGAGACGGGGUUUUGCCAUGUUGGCCAUGCUGGUGUCCACCUCCUGACCUCAGUUGAUCUUCCUGCCUCAGCCUUCCAAAAUGUUGGGAUUACAGGCGUGAGCCACCGUGCCUGGCCGUGAUUUAUUUUUUUUGUGUAUGUUUGUUUUUGUCAACUUGCUGUGUGACCUUAAGCAAGUUACUUAACUUCUCUGGGCUUCACUUUCCAUGGAUGAACAUUGUAAAGAGGCUGGAGAGAGAUGAGGACUAGGUACAGGCUUUAGAGGAGAGCCACCGCCCCGGACUUCUCCCUCUGUCACCCCGCUUUCCAUGACCCUCCUUGCCUGACUUUGUGACUCCUUGCCUCGCUAUCAAAACAAGUGCUGCAAUCUCAGUGCUUUCCAAGAGCCCUGCAUUGUUAGAAACUUCCCAGCACGCAGCAAAGGCUGCUGCAAUACUCGCUCUGCCUGCCUUUGCCCUGCGCUUCCUACUUACCCUCCUUUUGUUUCUCCCAAACAUCUGUCCCUGACUAUGCUCAUCUCAUGUUUGUCCUCAGCUGCUGAAAGGGCCACGUUUGUUUUCAUUACAAAUAAGACCACCGAGUGGGCUCCUGGCGUGGGGGCGGGACCAGCCGCGCGCAGUCUUCAGAGGCAGCCCCCCAGGCUGUCUCUGGAGGGUGUGUCUCUGCUUCCCUUUCCCCGUGUUUAUUUUCAGACGAAGCCAAGUGGCCCGGGGGGACCCUCCGGACUCCCAGCCUUCAGAGAGGAGGGCAGCUCGGGCUUUCGCCGCAGUGCUUCCUGCCCGUCACGUGUGUGCUCCUAGCCGGGGUCGGGGGAGCUGGUAUCUUGGCCCUUCUGGGAGGACGCGCACAGCCCGAGGAGGCAGAGCCCCAGACGGGAAUGGGCUUUUCAGAGGUGGGGUGCGGGCGAGGGGACGAUGCAUUAUUUUUAAUAUUUGAUUUAUUUUUCCAACUGGACUUCUUCCCGGGGCUCUUUCUGGGCCCAGCUGCCUUUGUGAUCCCGCGCCCCGGUCCUCGGCCUCUCACCUCCAGCGCCGGGGCGCCCCCUGCUGUCGGAAGCGGCUGUGACCGGGCAGAGGUGCUAUCUGGGACUCUGGGUUCUCAGCCCGGGGACAGCGAACCGAGGGGCAGAUGAUCCAUCAGAAAAGAGCCGGCACUGCCCAGCCCCGCGCCCCUGCCCCUGCCUUUUUCCGGGAGCGCGCCGCGCCGCACCCGCUACGGCCGCUUGACCCCAUCUUUGAGCCCGGCCCCAAGCUCUGGGACCGUCGUGCCCCUCAUCAAGGAAGAGCCAAGGACCCCAAGGAGAAGAGAAAGGAGUUCAUGAAGGCAGAAAUGCCUGGGGCCCACGAACAUCCCAGUGUGGCCCUGGACGGGACAUCAUGCUGGGCAACACAGCUAAAAUGCGGGUGAAGACCAGAUUUCUUGCACAUGGCGGUGACGGGAUGCUCCCUAGAGAGCUUCAAGUGGAUUCUUUGCUUUUUAUUUUCUCUCUUAAUAAAAAUGUAUGAUGUUUACAUUGUCAGAGAACAAACAGA
rnacentral:lncRNA from 1 species